AAAUUCAGAUCAUAAUGAAUUUUAGCAGCUAUUGAAAAUAUGAUACUUGAAAGUUAUUUUAAGAUACAGACAUGUUUUGGUUUGUUUUGGGUUUUUCUUCAGGUUUCCCUUCUGCCUACCAAGCAGAGAUGCCAACAGUUGCUUUUAGACAAGUUGUUUUGGGGAAAUGGGACUGGACCCUGUUAGAGAAAGUGUUUCCCCACCACUGAAAGCUCAGAAACCUGGUUGUGUGGAUUACUACGAAAUAUCUCCAGUUAUCUAUCAUGUUAACUUUGGAACCAUGCAUGUGUUUUGUAACCUGUUUAGAUACCGGAGAUACAGAAGGUAGGCAGAUGAUUUUCCCCCCUUGCCUUUCUUUCUUUCCCUGUUCAGUCUGUGGGCCUCUUGAGGUCAGCCAAUUGUCCUUUCCUGUGCUUUAUUAAGGGUGUAUGUGGUUUCUUUAGUUAGGGACAAUUCUGAAUAGUGGACCAACACUGAUUUAAUGAGAAUCUGAAAUUUGAGGAAAAAAUGUCAUUUGCUUUUAAAAUUUGUAGCUAAUAAAAAUAUACUAUAGCACUCAGCCCUGCAACAGAGAGCUGCUGGGACACA